rnacentral:rRNA from 1 species
CACGUAGGGUGCGAGCGUUGUCCGGAAUUAUUGGGCGUAAAGAGCUCGUAGGCGGUGUGUCGCGUCGGCCGUGAAAACCUGCAGCUUAACUGUGGGCUUGCGGUCGAUACGGGCAUCACUGGAGUUCGGCAGGGGAGACUGGAAUUCCCGGUGUAGCGGUGAAAUGCGCAGAUAUCAGGAGGAACACCGGUGGCGAAGGCGGGUCUCUGGGCCGAUACUGACGCUGAGGAGCGAAAGCGUGGGGAGCGAACAGG